rnacentral:rRNA from 1 species
CCUACGGGAGGCAGCAGUGGGGAAUAUUGGACAAUGGGCGAAAGCCUGAUCCAGCAAUGCCGCGUGAGUGAUGAAGGCCUUAGGGUUGUAAAGCUCUUUUACCAGGGAUGAUAAUGACAGUACCUGGAGAAUAAGCUCCGGCUAACUCCGUGCCAGCAGCCGCGGUAAUACGGAGGGAGCUAGCGUUAUUCGGAAUUACUGGGCGUAAAGCGUACGUAGGCGGUUAUUCAAGUCAGAGGUGAAAGCCCGGGGCUCAACCCCGGAACUGCCUUUGAAACUAGAUAACUAGAGUCUUGGAGAGGUUAGUGGAAUUCCGAGUGUAGAGGUGAAAUUCGUAGAUAUUCGGAAGAACACCAGUGGCGAAGGCGACUAACUGGACAAGUACUGACGCUGAGGUACGAAAGCGUGGGGAGCAAACAGGAUUAGAUACCCUGGUAGUCCACGCCGUAAACGAUGAUAACUAGCUGUCCGGGCACUUGGUGCCUGGGUGGCGCAGCUAACGCAUUAAGUUAUCCGCCUGGGGAGUACGGUCGCAAGNUUAAAACUUAAAUGAAUUGACGG